AAAAAACCAUCAGAUUUCUCACUGUCUCUCUAAAAAUCCUUCUCCUCUCUCACUUUCUUUCUCUCCCAAAAACUACCGCCUCAUUUGCUUCAUUUUUGGCCGACGAAACUCGUCGGAUUCCGGCGACCACCAACAACUUCGGCCAAACUCAUCAGCCGUACCCCAUUCCCACUCUCUCAUCUCCCUUUCUCUCCCUCAAACUCUCCUCCACUGCUUCUUCAUCUGGCCGGCGAAAUUCGCCGCCAGUCACGACAACAACACUCUCCCCAUGCUGUAAACUUCCCAUCUCCCUCUUCCCCCUCUCUUUCCGUUUCCUUUCGCCGGAGGUGGUGACCGACAAGCUUUGGCUGAACCACCAUGACAUCACUGAUCCUUUUCCCUUUCGCCUUUCCGCUUCCUUUUCACCGGAUGUGGUGACCGACGAAACCACCGGCGAACAGAUCCAAAUCGGUGCACAACAAAACCUUUUUCCCUCUAUUUUUUCUUCUCUUUUAUAUCAUCGUUGUUCACAUUUAUUUUUGAAGAUUUGCUGUAUUUUUUCAUGAUUAUGGUUGGUUGAUUAUUUUUCUUAUAUUUUAUUUGAUUUUCCUAUAACUUAAUUAUUGCUUUGCCUUCAAUUUGCUCGUUCCUCACUUUUAUGCUUCUGUUAUAUUUGUUUGGAAUAGGUGCUUCUAUUGUUUUAUUUUUUCUUUGUUUGGAAUAGUUGGUGCUACUCCCUCCGUUUUAUAAUAAAUGUAUUGUUAGAGUAUUUUUUAAAGGAAUAGUUGGUGCUACUCCUUCCGUUUUAUAAUAAAUGUAUUGUUAGAGUAUUUUUUAUGUUUCAAAAUAAGUGAAUGAUUCACAAUUCAAGGUAGAUAUUGGGAAAUUUUUUCAAAUUUAUCCUUCAUUAAAUGUGCAUUGGAAGUGAUGUAUCAUGUGUCUUUGCUUUUUGAAGAAGGUAAAAAUAGAAAAACAUGAUAAAUUUAUGUCUUUGCUUUUUUUCUUAAUAUGUGUGUCAAAAUUGAACAAUUAAUGUAUUGUGAAACGGAGGGAGUAUUGUUUAUUUUUUUGUUUCUUUCCAUUAUUUUCAUGCUAGUUAAUUCAUUGGUUAUUACAUCCAACAAACACAAUUUUUUGUUUGGACUUUAUUGUCUCAAAGUUACUAUUUUAUAUUAAGAGCCGAUACUUGGCCGAUGAAGAAAUUCUCCGUCGAUUUUCGAGGCCUUUUUAAAUAAAAAGAUGGAUAUUACGUAUAUAGUUACGUAAUAAAAUUAAAUAUUUUGGGUGAUGGAAAAUUUUUUAUAACAACGCACAAAAGUUUUAUGAUUCGUAAAUUGACAAGACGAUUUAGGACGGUUACUAAAUUAGCAACCACUUCGUAGUCAUAUCAUAGUUAAAAUCUAAUUUUUUUUUUACAUAUAUGCACACAUACGUUCUCGAUUUAUUUUGAUAGUUGUUUAUUGAGUAAAUACAUAAUUACUCCUUUGAAGUUAGUCGAGAUUUUCAAAAGACACCUAAACUUUCAAUUCGACCUAUUACCCUACGAUUCUUCUUUAUUCCGUUGCAAGUAUACCAUUUUGGACAUCUGCGUGUAUACACGCGCCAUAGGUGCGUGAAAGGGUUCAAAUUUGACUUUUUGACCAAUUAAAAGCUGUCAUGUGUAAAUAAUUGAUAUAUAAUUUAUAUUCUUUUUUUGAAAUAAAAAAAUCAAUAUUUAUUUAUUUUUUAAAAUUAUUUCAUAAACCCAUCGAUCCACCAUUAUCUUCUUCCCCAACUUCUUCAUCAUCAUAACUCAAUAAUAUCAUCAAUUACAACAAUAACAUAAUCAAUAACAACAACAACAACAUCAAUUACAGUUGCACCAACAUCAAUUAAAGCAACAAACACAACAUCAUCAUCACCAUAAUUUUAAAAAGGAAAGUUAAUGCACAACCUCCUUUUUAAUGAAGCUUUAAGCUUCAUUUUAAUGGAGGAAAUUGGACGGGGGAUGGGAAAGGGAGAUGUUGGACGGAGUGGGGGUGGGAGUAGGAGGUGGGGUAGGGUCAUAAAUAUAAAAAAAAUGAAGCUUAAAGCUCCAUUAAAAUGGAGAUUGCACAGCAACUUUAAGCUUUAUUUUAAUGAAGGGAACUGAAGGGAAAUGGGGGAGGGAGAUGUUGGACGGGGUGGGAGUGGGGGUGAUUGGGUGAGGUGAGGUCAUAAAAUAUAAUAAAAAUGAAGCUUAAAGAUCCAUUAAAAUGGAGAUUGUACAGGAGCUUUAAGCUCCAUUUUAAUGGAGGGACUGGGCGCGGGGAGGUUGCUAGAUGAGGUGGGGUGGGGUGAUAAAUUAAAUAAAAAAAAUUUAUUUAAAAAAAUAAAUAAAAUAUGAAAUCAAAUAUAUUUAACACGUGGCAGCACCUGAUUGGUACGUAUGUUCACUCUCUUUCUUGUGAUUGAGAUUCAACGAAAAAUAGUGUAUUUGCAACGGAUUAAGUAAGAAUCGUGGGUAAUAAGUCGAAUUCAAAGUUUAGGUGUCUUUUUAAAAAUCUCGACCAACAUCAGCGGGGUAAUUAUGUAUUUACUCUUGUUUAUUUGUUACUAACAUUUUAUUACAACUGUUUGUACAGGUUCUCGGAAAUACUCGUCGGGAAUGAUAUUUAAAGAAGAGUUUGAAUUUUAUUAUAUUUGUAUUUUCUUUUAUUCUUAUCAUUAUACAAAUAUUAAUUAUAGUGAAAUCUUUAUUUUUGGGGCGUUUGGUGGGGAUGUUCUUUAUUUAUACAAUUUUUACUGCGUGUUAGACAAAUUUAGGUCGUUAAUAUUUAUAUUAAAAUUAAUUUAGAUAUUUAAUUACAUAAUUCACACUUUUUACACAAAAAAACAUUAUGUAAUUUUUUCUUUAAAAAUAAUUUCUUUUUUAUUCAAUCUUUGACUUUCUUUUUUAUAUAUCCUUACAUACGUUUGUUUAUACAUCUUUACGUGCGCUUAUACAUAUUUUGCAAUAACAUAUGUAUUAUAUUAUUUUUGUCUUUGCAGACAUUGAUUUUUAUUUUAUCUUUUAAUAAUAAACCUAAGUCUGGCCGGGAACCAUAUUUGUGGAUUCUGAAGGGUGCCUAAUCCCUUUCCUUCGGAAUAAUUUGAACCUUUACCUACAAUUUUAAUUGGUUCACAAAUUGAAAUAAAAAUCAUACUUGUUAAUAAAUAAGUAGGUUUUCGAUUUUUUCCUAAAAAUUAGGUGGGGACUCUGUAUCAAAAUAAUUAUUUUAAAGUUCAUAAUGUCGUGCUCAUUUUGACCUUAGGUAAAAAUCGGGUAUGACACCGAGAAAAUCUCACACCAGACUCCAUAUAGGUAGAGCCUCCAUAACUUCAAAGCAAACAUAGUCGCGCAGAACUCUAAAUCAUAGGUAGGUUAGUUCUCAUGAGGCUUCAACUGACUAGAUGCAUAAGUAAUUACCUUGCCUUUCUACAUAAACACAACAUCCAAUCCAACACUUGAAGCAUCACAAAACACGGUAAAGCCCACACCAACCUUGGGUAGAGCCAAAAUAGGAGCUAAAGUCAACAAAUACUUGAGCUAAGAAUAGUAAUGAGUAAUGAUUGGUUGGUAGAGGUCUUGAUGACCAUAAAUAAACUUGCAUCGUGUUGUAAACUAAGGACUUGGGCUUAUAUAUAUGAUUAAUGGCUAAUUGGGUUGGGAAAUACCAUGUGGUUGUCUAUGGUGUUGAUAUGUAGCCUUGGUGGGUAGAAUUACCUAAAUGGGUUCAAGCCCCUAAAUGUCGAAAUGUAUUGUAUGGAUGUUAAUGCAUGAUCUGAUGGGUUAAGAGUUCAAAUGUCAACUAAUGAUGGUAAUAAGAUGACUUGUGGUUAAAGUCCCUCGUCUAAUAACUUGUGGUUAAAGUCCCUUGUCUAAGGACUUGUGGUUAAAGCCCUUCGUCUAAUGACUUGUGGUUGGAAUCCCUUGCUUAAAGAUAUCUCUUGAGAUUAAAACACCUCAUCUUAUGAAUCAACAUGUGAUUAGAUUUCCAUGCCUGAUUGAAUGUGGGAUCAUGUGAUUAGAGUUCCAUGCCCGAUUGAAUGUGGGAGCAUGUGAUUAGAGUUUCAUGACCGAUUGAAUGUAGGAGCAUGUGAUUAGAGUUCCAUGCUCAAGUUAAUAUAUGGGCAUGUGAUUAGAGUUCCAUGCCCGAUUAAAUGUGUAAGCAUGUGGUAAAGUUCCAUGCCUAAUGAAUUGAUUAAAUAGGUAAAAUCGGUUAAAUUAGUUGAGUAGGUUUGAGGUUUGGAUCCUCUUGACUAAUGUAAUGAAGAAGUUCAAGGUUAUAAAAUUGGUAAGGUGGAAUAUUGAAAGUUCUUCACUCCAUGUCUCAUGAAUAAAUGAUUUGAGAAUGCAUGUUAUAGCUCAUUCCAUGUUUUGGCACAUUGUGUAACUAUAUGUCCAUGUAUAUUCAUAUAUGCCGAUACUUGUGUAAAUAUGAUUGCAUGUAAUGAUUUGAAUGGAUUGAACAAGUGCACUAUUUUAUCCUUAUCCUUGAGUUACAUGCUAGCACUCUAACCGCUAACUAUCUCCCGACGCUAUGUCCCCACGCGACAUAGGGGCCAAAGCAUCUUUUUAUUAUUCUAUGUAGUGAUCAGGUGUUCGAGUGGUUCGGGCAUUGACCUUGAAAUGGUGAGUUUUCAUACUCCAAAAGAUCUACCUUUCGUAGUAUUUUUAUCCUAUGUUAUAGACUUGUAUAGGUUUGGUACUUGGUUAUUGUCGGGGGCAUGUCCCAACACAUUAUUGACUUGGUUUGGUGGAGAUUUCGUUGAUGACUAUGGAAUUGGGUAUACUGGCUAGACUGUUGACCUUAAUGAAAUGUUAGAUAUUGUUGAAGUACUACCUAUUAUCUUUAUAUUUCCGAUAUAUUACUAUAAGGCUGGAAUUCACCCAACCAUUAUAGUUGUUGUGAUGACGAUUUCGUUAGGUUAUCGGGGCGACCUCCGAUUCAUGUUGACUUGAGGUUCCCAUACGACAUGGCCUAAUUUUGGGGCAUGUCAUGCGGUGGCUACCAUAAUAUCCAUGAGAAGCUCUGAAAUAUCUUCCAUAAGUAGAUGGACCUCUGAACUCAUAAAAAUGGCACACUUUCUUGGUGCCUCACUAAGAUGCCUGAAGAAUACCCUUAGUCAUCUUAGCCAGAUCUACAAUACUCUUAAAAAGAUGCCCCAAAUACGAGAAUCUGUGUAUAUCCAACUGAAGGGGGACAUCAAAACCCUUCAUAAACUUCUGAAUCUUCUUUGACUUGCUAGAAAUACUAGCAUAGGAAUAUCUGGACAAGGCAUAGAAGUGUGUCUCAUACUCAUCUACAGUUAUGGAGCCCUGAUCAAGAUGGUCAAACUUAUCACACAUCCGAUAUCUUAAACUAAAAGGCAUAAAUCUCUCCCGAAAGCCAUCAACAAACUGAUCACAUGAUAUCUUAGGAGCAUCAAUAAAUCUACAACCAACAACUGAUCUCCACCAAUAUCUAGCCACGUCUCUCAACUAAUAUAUAGUAUAAGCAACUCCAUGUGACUCCAAUGAACCUAAAUUAUGGAGCUUCUCCCAAUAAUAAAUCAAGAACUCAUAGGCAUCCUUGUCCACAACACCAAUGAACAUAGGAGGACCCAAAUAAGUAAAUCUCUCAAACCUCUUCUGAUCCUCAAAAGAUAUUACAGUACUCACAGUUAGAUAGGCAUAGUGAAUCUAGCAAGCUGAGAUCCUAUAUCAGAAGUUAACAUAGAUGAAGGUUGAACUCCCAAUCUCAGAAUACCAUGCUCAGAUGUCGGUGCUGAAAUAGGAAUAGGACUCAAGGUCUGAGGAGUACCCAAAAUAGGAGCAGGUGCAAUAGGAGAAUCCAAACUCCGAACUAGAGGAGCACCAAACAUAACUAAAGGAGAACCCUAUAAGUGGGACAACAAAUACAUCAAUAACACCUCCAAAACUGGGGCAGAUGAACUCUGAAUAGCUGGAGUAAAACCCAUAUAUCCAACCUACUCAAAACGAGGCUUGAGGGAGAGUCCCCUUACUCUUCUUCUAGACGGCGCUAAAAUACUGGCCAGUCCUCUCCCUCGAGUUUCUCUAUGGCUAGAGGGACGUCUUCUAGACCAAAAUCUCUCUGCAAAAGCAGGCUCCACAUCACUAACCUCGCGGGACCUAGUCAACACCAUCUGUGCAAAAAGAGUAAAAUAUAAUUGAGAACACAAGAUAUGAAAGAACAUCACAUGGUAAGGAAGGGAAUUAAAGAAAGUUUCCUAAAGACAUCCUAUAGCCUCUCGAAGAUAGAUACAGACGUCUAUGUAUCGAUCCGUGAGAUUUAUUAGAUAUUCCAUCCUUACACCAUUGAGAACAAUAAAACCUAGCUGCUCUAAUACCAAUUUGUCAUGGCCCAAAAUCCAUAGGUCUUGAUGGCACUUGUCACGGCGAACCUUGGCAAGUAUGCCUAUCACCCAAAUCAAUACACAUAAAAUAAAAAUACAAUAAUAACCCUAAGUCAAGGCUCCUAGAAGGAAGCUGAACUAUACAAGUAAAAUAAAUAUGGAAGGAAACAUAACAAUGUAGACAUAACUCCAAAAAAUUGGUGUGAACAAUAUAAGAACGUAUCUAGUACAACUCAAAUUCAAAUGAAAUACAUAAUAUAUCCAAAUACAAGAAAAACCUUAUCUCUGAAAGGAAAGUAAAUACAUAGUUUAUAAGAGAGGUAAUAAAAGACAUUCAGAUGCCUGAAGGCCAACUACUACCUUGAAAGCUCCAACAAACAUACCAGUCAAGCAAGUUAAGGUGCAUGUGCAGUAGGUGAGAGUACGAUCCACUUGUACACAGAAGGUAUCAUAGGUCGAUCAAGCAAAGUAUAAAAUAUAAAAUAUAAAAUAUAAAAUAAGGGAACAUCACCUGCAAUCAGAAAAUAUCUCACAAUAGUAGCUCACACCGCUUGCACUAAAAGUUCUAACAGAUAUAUAACACAUAUAUAGCAACAACAUCACCAGGUAGAACACAAGUAUACAUUUUAUCACAUACAUAUUGGAACAAGGGAUAAUAUGUAUAUACGAGAUACUUAGAUACAAUUAAUAAAAAAUAGAACAAAUAUUUGUAUGAGAAGUCUAUAUAGCAAUUCAAUCUCAACACAAAUAAAAUAAAGAAGUGCAAUGUAUAAGAUGAUGAUAAUGAUGCACGAGGCUGUCACACAACCUCCAUAUACACCCACGGAGGAAAAUUUAUCGACGUAGGAACCAUGGAGGAUUCGUCAACCCAUAUAAAAUCCAUAUAUACCCAUAUCCAUAUCCAUAAUCCUCCUCGACUCAUCUCUCGGGGAGGUUUUAUAAGAUGUCAUAUUUUCUGUUAUACAAAGGUAUUGUCAGUGUUUCUUAGGUGUUUCCAUGGUGGUACUAUUUAUUUCAUCAAUUAGUAUAAUAUGAGGAUGAAAUGCUCACAACCAAUCAUAAUGAGUAUUUCAACAACCAAUCACGUGAUAUAUUUCCAUAAUGAAUCACAAUGAUACAUUUCCAUAACCACGUAAGCCAAUAUUCACUUAUUAUUUUCAUUCAUUCAUGAAUGUCCACAUGUUUUCAUAUGCCACAAAUAUGAAUAUAUAUCACAAUACACCAGAGGUACAACAAAAAGGCAUUUGCAAUCGCACAAUACAAUUAUUCACAUGUAUUCAAGGCUAUCAAAAUCAUAUAGGACCUUACACGGUUAUACAUAUCACUUAAGAUUCUCAAUUUUAGCAAUUACAUCACAUAUAGGCCCUCACACAGGCAAUACAUAUAGAUCGUGAUUUUUCAAGAUUAGUUUUCACCCUUAAUAUGCAUUUUGUACCAACAUUUGCUACCCUGAUUAGUUUCAAAGAGUAUAGAAUCUAUGUAUCAAAAUAAAGAUAACAAUAUCCAUAUUUCCUAAUUUGGUUUGGGGUCAAAGCGGAUUUUCAAAAUGAAUUUUCAAAAAAGAAGGGCAAAUUCAUAACUUUUCUUCAAAAUGUGUUUCCAUAUUUCUAGAAAUCUAUAGUUGGAAACCCAAGUCAAAUCAAGUCAAAAUUGAGGUUCAAAUUGAAGAAAAAAUAUUUCUAAGCUUUAUUAGGUAAAAUCUUUGAAAUCUGUAUUAAAAUCAAGGAUCGAGGUUGUUUUGAAGGUUAAAUUGAUAAAAAAACUAGUAAUUACAGGAUUAAAAUAUUAUUCAAGUAAAAAAAGGUGAAAUUGUGGUUUAAAAUCAAGCCCUAAGAUUUAGGGGGUUUUGAGAAAUUAAUCAAGAAUUAGAGUAAGAAAGGAUGAAAUCUCACCUUCCCUAAGAUUUAGGGGGUUUUGAGAAGUUAAUCAAGAAUUAGAGUAAGAAAGGAUGAAAUAUCACCUUAAAUCUGUAAUAGAAUCAAGAAAUAGAUGUUAAUAUACCUCCCAUCUGUAACGCCCUCAGACUUCACCCUGGGCAUCACACAAUGCCUACGACCUCGAAGGACCACAAGCAACCUAUGAUGGGUACCUGCUGUGAGCACUAAGUAAUAAUAAUGAAAACUUAUGCCGAAGUAAAAUUGAAAAUGCCAUAAAAUUCAUAAAAUUGAAUCAAUACUGAGUACAUUUGUAGAAUAACUGCUAACUGAUAAUGUCUGAAAGCCUCUAACAUAUCUGAAAUAAAAGAGUUAAGGGGACAGACCCCAACUAACUCGCAACUGCUAUCUGAAAUAACUGAAAUAUUGAAAGAAUGCAAUGGCUAAAUAUGUAUCGCGUCCUUGAUGGAUGAGGACUCACUACAAUAACUACUUAUAAUCCACUGACCUGGAAAAGUACGAUCAGGAACCCGAGCGUUUGGACCUAUGAUAUAAGACAUCAUAGCACAAAAAGAGAGUAUGUGUCAUGUCAGUACUUUGAAUAUACUGGUAUGCUAGGCGAGGUUAGGCUAAUAUGAAUGGAUUCAUGUAUAUGAAUAAUAAUAACUAAAUAUCAUGAAGUGACUGGAUGAGAGAAAAUGUUAGACUGGGACUACUGAAUAUAAGGAACAUGUAAUGACAAGGAUAUAUCAUCUAUCUGAUUUAGACUAUAACUGAAGUACUGAGUUUCUGAUAACUGUAAGUUAUGAUCAUGUAGAACUAAACUGAGUUCUGUACUAAAUGUUGAAUACUGAAUACUGAAUACUGGAACUAAACUGUGGGAGUUAUAUCUAACCAAUAUAUCCUGUGUAUAGACUGAUUUGGGAUCCAACCUGUAACCCUAGUUGGAAAGGUGUUAGCACUGUACCACGAGUUACUAACACUGGUUGGGUCAACCCUAAUUUGGCAGGAAGACUGAUGAGAUAUAUAUGGUUACGUUAACCCUAGUCUAGUAGGAAGACUAUUUGCCCUAAAUUGGCUAUGUAGUUCUAUAACUCAAGGACUGCUACUAAGGGUCAAACCCUAUAUUGGCAGGAACCCUGGGUUCACUCGGUGCUAAAUCCUACUCCCAACUGAACCGACAAUGAUCACUAGACUGUACUAAGCUUGACUGAACUCAUGUUGAUUCUGCUAACUGACCGAAUGCUACUAUUCGGGAUACUACAAAAUCAUUCUAUUAUGAUUGGAAAAUAAGUAAGAAUCUAGUUUUGGGUAUACAAUACCCCCAGGACUCGAUAGCAUAAAUAAUGGAACCAUAUCAGAAGUUUAAAAAGCAUUACAAUUAGGAUAUCAUGAACAAUUUGUUCACAUAGACAUUUUUUCAAACACUUGGGGAGCAUAGUUCUUGUACAUGAGAAAUAAUAACAUGGGGAUAUCUUGAAUAAAACAUUCAACUUACAAUUCAUGGGUUAUGGCAUGAGGAGUACAUAAGUCAACACACAUGCUAGUUUGUUUGCUUGAAAUUCAUAAUUUUCUUAGUUUAAAAUCCAUAAAAUCAACACAUACAUGAACACAAAUUCAAUUCAGUAAUGUAAUUCAUAAUUUAAAUUCUCAAAAAUGAUUUUUGAACUCCAAGGGUGGAAGGAACCCAAGAAUGAAUACCAAACAUACCUUGAUUUAUGAAUUGGUGAGAACUGAUGGUGAAUUCUUGAGAUUUGAUCUUGAAUCUCGAAGGCUAGAUUUUUUUCUUGAAAGAGGGCUACUUUAAUUUGAGAGGAGUGUGAAAAUUUUAGCAAAUAAUGCUCUCUUGGGAGUUAAUCCUGUAUUUUGAUUAAAUGAGGUGAAGGAAAAAAACGUAAAUGCCCUUGACAAAUUAAAACUCAAAACUAGACUGGAAAUCUCGAUUUUGGCUUUCAGUGCGAUGCGGUGCAACCACGUUGGGCCACUGGAAAAGGGACCAUCUUGAAUUUACCCAGCGGCGCGACGCGGUGAAAUCGCAUUGAGCCACUGGGAACGGACAAUUCCAAAAUGGCACCUUGGCGCAAUGCAGUGCCAAUCAUUGUGCCUCACUGGAAAGUGAUAAAUGCGAAAGUUCCCCUUGGAGAUACGUGGUGCUUAUCAUGGUGACACACUGGAAAAAGACAAACAUGAUUUAGGCCAUCACCGUAAUGCGGCCAUAUUGAGUUGGGCUAUUAUUUUUUACUAAAAGUGCCAUAACUUCUCACUCGAGUAUCUGAUUUAGGCAAAAUUGGUAUCGUUGGAAAGAUAAUUCAAAUUCCUACAAUUUAGUGGGUAUUGAGCUGAAAAAUUCUGAGUAUAAUAAAAGAUAUCCUUGUUUGAAUUUGACUAAAGCAACAUUCUUCUCAAAAAUUCAAUCGGCAAGGAAUAUUUUGAUUCAUCCAAUAACUGGGAGAUAUUUGAGGACUUAAUAUACAUCAACCUCACUCAUAAAAUUACCAACAAACUAUAAGGUAUUAUGAAUGAGCUUGGAACAUGGCACUAACAAUGGUUUGAAUUUUUGGGGUAUUACACCAUAAGCUUCACUUUUACGUUCUCACACCAUUUUAGGGUUUAACUCUCAAUAGAAAAUGUGAAAGAAUGAUCAAAAGAGGGCAAAAUGGCUAUUUAUACUAUACCUGGAUUACCAGGUAUUUUGUGCAUAAAUCGCACUCCCUGAGCCCGAUUUACCUCAUGAUAUAUUUUGCACAACCAAUCACAAUGAUACAUUUCCAUAACCACAUGAGCCAAUGUCCAUUUAUUAUUUUCAUUCAUCCAUGAAUUUCCACAUGUUUUCAUAUUCCAAAAGUAGAAAUAUAUAUUGAAAUACACCAAAGAUGACAUAAAAAAGCAUUGGCAAGCACAAAAUACAAUUAUUCACGUGUAUUCAAAGCUAUGAAAAUCAUAUAGGAUCCCACACAGUUAUACAUAUCAUGUAAUAUUCUCAAUUUCAGCAAUUACAUCACAUAUAGGUCCCACACGGGCACAACACAUAGAUAGCUAUUUUUAUAAUUAGUUCCUACCCUUAACAUGCAUUUAGUACAAACCUUUACUACCCAACUAUGUUUGAAAGAGUUAAGGCAUAACCUACCUCGAAUGCCGGAAUCGGUCUGCAAUAGUUCAACCACAAAGCCCUACUUCUCACGAAUGAUAUCGAAAUCAACUAAAAUCAAGAAUAUAUAAUCUAUUCAUCAAAACAAGGCUAAUGAUAUAUAUGUUGACUACUUUGGUUCAGGGUUAAAAUAGACUCCCGAAAUGGGUUUUUGAAAAAGAAGUGCAAAAUCAUAACUUUGCUUCAAAAAAAACUGUUUCCCAUAUUUUUAAGAAUCUAUAGUUGAAAACCCAAAAUAAAUUUCAUAAAAAAUGAGGUUCACAUCAAUGAAAAACUAUUUUAAUAUUUUAUCGGGUAAAACCUUUGAAAUUCGUGUUAAAAUAAAGAAUCAAAGUAGUUUUGAUGAUUAAUAAAGCAAAACUAGUAAUUAUAGGAUUAAAAUAUUAUUCAAGUGAAAAGGAGUGAAAUUAAGGUUUAAAAUCAAGCCCUAAGAUUUUUGGAGUUUUGAUAAAUUAAUCAAUAAUUAGAGUAAGAAAGGAUGAAAUCUCACCAUAAAUCCACAAUAAAAUCAAGAAAUAGAUGUUAAUCUAGUUUUCCAAGCUCCCACAAGCUUCACUUUUACAUUCUUAUACUAUUUUAGGGUUUAACUCUCAAGUACAAAGGUGAAAGAAUGAGCAAAAAGGGGGGCUAAAAGGGCUAUUUAUACUAUACCGGAUUUACCAGAUAUUUUGUACAUAAAUUGCACUCCCUAAGCCUAAUUUACCUUAUGUGCAUCAGGUUGCACCAGCAACCUAGUGCAUUAGAUUUUAUUAAGUCCCAACGGACUUAGAUGGGGUAUCCAAAAUUUGUUUAGAGUCUGAUAUACGCAAAUAAACUAUGCAACAAUACUAAAUUCGACACUUCGGACUUAGUGGCAAUAUCAAAAUUUUGAAAAACUAUUGUUUUCAUAGAAUUGACCACCAAAACUUGAAAUCAUAAUUUUUUAGAUGAGAGUCCAAAUGAAAUUUAAAAGCCAUAAACCAACCCAAAUAUGUUACCAUCCUAAAAUCGACAUUUUGAAUGUGUUGGCAAAGUCGGAUUUUCCAUCCUAGGUCGUUUCGACCAAAUAUAGGCACCACACUCAUAUUUUUAAUUUUUCAACUUUCCAACCAACAGUUCAAAAUGAGCUUGGGUGUAUCAGGACAUGAAACAAAGGUCUGCCUAGCCUAAAAUCGGUAUUUUAAAACUGUUGGCACACUCCAUUCAGCCAUCAAUUGCACGAAUCAAAAGAUAACCACACGGGUUCAUAAUAAGGUUUUUAAAGCCACCAAAAAUAAUAAUAUCAUAUCCAAGGUACCAAAAUACAUCGGGAAUCAUGUCAAUUACUCUCACACCCCAGAAGUACCACAGUGCAACUAUAGGAAGGGAAUAAAACAAUCAAAUCAUAAAAAAUCACAAAUUUCACAUAUUUUAUCAAAUUUUAGGUCGUUAUAUGUGGGUUUAUAAUUAUUGUGCAUGUUGUACACCUUAUAUUUUUGACAGCUAUUGUCUUGGGGUAUUUAGCCAUUCCUCGAUACAUGCAGCUAACAUAGAUUGGGAUCUUUUAGUAAGGAAAACUAGACCCAUAUUACCUAUGGGUGCUUGGAACGUCGGUAUAAGCUACAUAGUUCAGGCUUAUGUUUUUGAACGAUUAUGUUUCAUGUUUUUUGCACUUAUCCCAGCAACUUAUAUACAUGUGUAAUAGUUUUAUAUGUUGAUUAUGAUUGGAUUUUUGGUAAAUUCAUAAAUUUUAUCCCUUUUCUUUGGUUGCAUUCCAGUGCUCUCCGUACUAACCAUCUCCAAAUGCUAUAUCAUUUCAUGAUGUAGGUUAUGAAGGCUUUUCUUGUAACCCUAUAUAGCAUUUGGUAGUUUGAUACUCUUAUUGGGAAGUUGUUGAAGUGAUGAGCCCUUCCUCAUUAAAAAGACCUAGUCUUUUUCAAUUAUUUAUGGUUUUAGUACUUUCUUUUGGUUUUCUUCUAGGAUAGUCGGGGUCAUGUCUUGAAUUGGCUAGUGCUUCUUGGUUUAGAGUCUUUAUGGAUAGUAAUAGGGUAUUUCCUUAUGGAUUUGAUGUUGACUUACAAAAUUUCUCUUUUAAUUAUUAAAUAUCUCUUAUUUUUCUGAUUAGCUUCCACAUUUUAUUUUAUUGUUACUCUCUUGAGAUAAGGUUAAGGGGAUCAUCUCCAGCCUUAUUAGCUUGGGAUACCUGUCAUGGUUAAGCCUUGGUUAGAGUUGUGAUAAGCUUGGUAUCAUAGCACGGUUCAGGAUCGUUGGGUGUCCAUAAAGCUUUGUCGAGUAAAGUCCCUUUUAUGGGUAUGUAAUACACCAUACUUAUAGGGGGGAGGACAUGAGGCAUUUAGGAAAUAUUUAUCAUUCUUUCAUACUCUAUAUUGUGCAAUUGUGUUGUCCAUAUGAAAGUUAUCCAAUUUCUUUCCUUUUUUUAAUUUUGUUUGAUAUGUCUCAUCAUGUGAUCCUUUUAGAAUGAGUCGUCAAAAGUUAUGAAAUGACACAAGGAUUUGAAAGGAUUCCAUUAGUGUGUCGAAGUGUUUUGAUUUAAGUGUAUACCUCUAUCUUCAUGAAUCGUGCUUUUCAGCCCAAGGUAAGAUGUGUAAUUUUCCCUUUCAAAAACUUUAUUGAAGAAGUCUCAUUUAAGAGGAAGGAUACAUAUCCGAAUAUUGGGUUAUUAUUUCUAUCCUAGAGGUAGUAUAAAUUGGGAUGUUAUGACCUAUGAGUAGUUAGAUGAUCUUGAGGUUAGUGUAUAAAUUUUUUUGCAAAAUCGGAGAGAGGGUAGCUUUUCAGUGAAAAAGGGUAAUUGUAUUUGUAUGACCUUUAAGUGAGUGUUGGGGAUUGUAUGCCUUUAUUGUGUUGGUUAAGUUUUACCAAAAAUUAGAGAACUUAAUGAUAGUCAAUAGAAAAAGAGUGGUUAGUUAAAAUAUUUAUGUAUUUAGUUGAAAUAGGAAAGGUGCUUAUGAUUACUAGUUAUUGCAGUAGUCAAAUUAAUCAUAGAUUGCAAAUAGAAGGGUAAAUUGUCUAAUAAUUUAUAAAUUUGUCAUUUAUUUGGGGAGAUCUUAAAUAAAAAAAGGGGAACUCAGUGAUUUUUAUAGAAUCUUAAAGAUAGUUGGGAUGUAUGCAUGGGUAAGCAGAUGUGAUGUAAGGGAGGCGAAUGUCCUAUAGACCAUAAUGGGUUAGGUUAUAAGAUUAAGAUCAACUAUACUUAUUAUGUGGCUAUACCAAUUGAUAUUUUUUAUAGUAUUUAUAAACUAGCAUAGUAUUUGAGAAAAUGUAUAACGAAUAUUAAGGUGUGAUUGUAAUGUUGUGGAGAAAAAUACACUUGUGGGACAUAGGUAAGUUAAAUAUGAAAUUUAGGUUGAUUUCUAUAUUUUAUGGACUAGUAUAUUAGGCGAGAUAUUUCAUUGGUGGUACAUGAUAAUUUCUACACACUAAGUUUGAACUUUAGAUGUUGAUUAUGGUGAUAGAAUGUUAGCUCAGGAGUUGUGAUGCAAUACUUGUGGGAGUGAAUUAAUAGGCUUGAUAUAAUGUGUGAAAGAUCUUAGUUUGAUGACUUAUGAAAUAUUGGAGUAGGUAAUUGUGAUAUACGCAUGAGGUUAAGUGUUGAAGUAGAAAUGAUGGCGAAAUCAUUAGAUGGAUAAGAGCCUUAAGUUGUAAGGAUAAAGUGUACUCAGUUUUGAGUUAUAAGUGCUAUGUAUACCUAGUUUAUGUUCAUGUAUACUAUGUCAUUAGGCCCAUGAAUCCAAAGAACACCUUUUUGUGAAAUUUCACUUUACAACUCAUGUACGGACCAAGAUUCUAACUUGGUUGCACAGACAAUCUGUAUAGUGAAUUUUGUGCGAUAAUUAUUAGAAUUGGGCCAUUGACAGUACAAAUAGAAGAUCACAAGAAGCACUAAUAUUUAGAUUGGUGAUUCCUAAAGUUGUGUACGCAGUGUGUAUGGAAAGAAAUAUGAGGAUUUUUGAGUAGAUAUUUCGAGAAAGAGUUAGUUCUACAAGGGAGAUAGCCUAUAGUUCAAAUGUUAAAGCUCCAAUUGGAGAACAACCACUACUUUCUAGUUUUUUCUUUUGAUUCAGCGUAGAGUUGUAUAGGUGUUUCCUGUUAGAUCUAUUUAGGAUAGUAAUCUAAGAAUAAAUUGUUAUGGUUUUGUAACGAUUGCUAUUGGUGAUAAUAAAUAACAUUAGUUGGCAAAAAAUAAAGCUUGGUCAAAUAGUAAUUGCUGCUCAAAAGUGUUUUUAAAAUUUAUUGGUCAAAAACAAACUCAUUCUUACCCAAAGUACUUUUUUGAAAAAUAAUUAUGAAGAAUUAAUUUUUUGAAAAGCUAAAUUUAGAAGCUUGAUUAAAUAGUCUAGAAGUCUUAGUAAAUGAUUUGGAGAACAAGUAAUUAAACCUAAUAAUCACACAUGAAAAAAAUAAUUAUCUUUUAGUUAUGAAAUAUUAAGCAAGUACAAGAAUAAAUAGAGAGAGAAGAGACUUCUUUAUUUCUCUUUAGAAACCAGGGAUGAUUUACAAUGAAGAGAACUCCUAUAUUUAUAGGAGAAAUUUCUCCUAAUUUCUCUCCAAAAGAUGGACUUUCCAUUUAUUGAUAGAUACUCAAUAUAUCUUGAUAGAUAUUCACUAUAUCUUUAUUAACAUUCACCAUUUAUAACUCUCUUCUUGAAUAUUUAAUUGAUAGAUAAUGUGUCUCAUUAAAACCUUAAUUAAAAAAAUCUAGUGAAGAAAAAAGAGUACACAUCUCUAAUAACACGUAUUUUGGCUGUCUCAUUAAAAAUCUUACUAGAAAAAUUCGGUGGGAAAAAAUUUUAAAAGGUAAAAGAGUACAAUGCGUAUAACCUCCCCCUGAUUAGAAUAUCAAUUCAAAAUCUCAAAUCUUCGUAUUCCAAUCUUGUGCACCGCUGUAACACCCCAGGUUUUUGGCUCUUGAAAAUUUCUAAAAUGUUAUUCUCACUGUACUAAUUGCGACUCCCCUUACGAGUUGUAAGGAUUCUUGACCAGUCCUAGGGACCCAAUCAUAUCCUAAAUAGUAUGUGCGGGGCCGAGCUCUAUUUUGAGUAUGAGUGGCUCACUAAGAGUUGUGGUGUGCAAAUCAUAGGUUGUCCAGUGUAUACCCCAAAUGGUUUUUGUGUUGACUAUGACUGGACCCUACGAGUCGUAGGAUCUCACUUUGGAUGAUGGUAUGCAAGUUGUAAGGUCAAUAGUGUAUGUGUCAGGUAAGACUGUCUUCGCAACGAUUCAUGAAAAUGAGUCGUCAUAAGACCCGUAAUAAUCGACGUUUAUUUUCCAGCAUUCUAAUGGAGGUAUUUUAUACAUUUUCCUUUUAUUCCAAUAAUAACACAUGACCUAUAAACAUACUUGGUGCCCUAUUUUCAUUGAUAACACACCCCAAAAAUUCUUUCUUCUCUCUCAAGUAUCUCAAGCUUUCGUACUUAGGAUUUCCAAGAAGUAGGUCAAGGAGAGAUUUAAGGGUUGAAUUCUUUACACAAAUUUGAGUAUUCCACGGAUAUUAAUCUUCCCUAAUUUUUAAUUUGGUAAAAGCACAGGUUUUAAAGUGUUGUUCAUAUGAUAUUUAUGUUGGUUUUAAAAUACGGGUUGAGGGUUUUGAAUAACUGUUGUUUAUGUGAUGUUUCAUGUUUGUCCUUAUAAGGGUUUCGUUUAAAUGGUGGUUUAAAAAUAAAUUUGAUGCAUGGUUAUGUUGAAUAAACUAGGGGAUUGUGAUUUCCCUCAACUUGUGACUUUUGAAGUGGUAAUGACCCUAGCCUCAUAUUGUGAAAUUGGUUUUUAAUAUGAAAAGUAUGCAUAUUGAACUACUCUUAAACUAUUGUAUAAAGUGAAAAGUCAAUGAAGCAUAAUAAUUUUAAAUUUAACCUUAUGGAGUUGUAUAAUUCCCUAAGCUGAUAUGUAAUUGAACUAAUGGGGCUAUGAAUUUCCCCAAAUAAUGAAAUUAUUUCGGCAUGUUGAUGUUAACUUGCAAGUGUAGUUGGUAUGAAGAUAUCAACAAUGUAUGCCAAAAUGUCUAUCAUGGUUUAAUGAAUGAGAAUGUGUGUUAAAAGUUUUAAUUAGGCUUUAAUGAUGGUUGUGCAUAUGAGUUGUGAAAGUGGAUGUCUCGAGGGACAAAUAUUGGAAACUAUAGUUGAUGAUGCAAGGUCUAUAUAACCGGGUGGUUCGAGCCCCUCUUAUUAUUAUUAUCAUAUGAUUGAGAGGUUUGAGUCCCCCAUAUUAAACUAUAUGAUUGGGUGCUUGUGUCACCUUGAUAUGCCGAGAGUUUUGAGUCCUACAUAGUGCAUAUGUAUACCUUCUAGUUCAUGCAGCCAUACGCACUGAGGCCCUACUAGAUAGGGGAGAGAUAGGCCUAUAUAACCUUUGGGUGCCUUAUUAUGUUAUAAAGAUUAAGCUACACAAUCCAGGCUAAAGUUUUAAAGGUUUAUGCUAAGCCUUGUCCCCUACCCCGACACAUGAUAUAUAUAUAUAUAUAUAUGUGUGUGUAUAUGUGUGUGUGUGUGUGAAUUUGCAUAUAAUUAUGUGAAUUGGAUUUUGGACUAGUUUUAAAUUGCUAUCCUUGAAAAUAUUUUAUCCCAUAUCCUUGAGUUACAUGCUAGCGCUCCAACUGCUAACCGUCUCCAAACAUUGUAUCCUCAGGAAAUAUAGGUAUCAGAGAUACCUUUACUUUUCCUGCACAGAGUUAGGUGGAUUGGCUCGAUUCGUUGUGGUAAAAUGCUAAGGUUCCAUUCUCUAGAAAAUUUAGACAUUUUAUCAGUUCUUAUCAUAUAUUAGAAGUGAGAGUUUUCAUUAUCAUCAAUUUUAUCAUUGUCAUUGUCAUCUGUUAGAGUCGGAGAUAUGUCCUGACCAAGACUGAUUUUGGUUUUCUUUGCAUAUAGGCUUUAUUGGAUUAGUGUCGACUUGGGUGAUGUGGUCAGUUGAUUUGAUCGGUUAUCAAUUACCUGUUAUAGAGGUAUAUUAAAUCCCUUGAGCUUGUCUUAUGAUAUAUUAUUGUAUGUCCAAAAUUAUUUUGAUAUUAGGGAUAUUGUGUUUUGUUUGGCUUGGUGCAGGGGGUGAUCUCCGGUCCUCUGUGGAAUUGAGGUACCUUUCAUGGUCAGGAACUGGUUCGAGUCAUGACAAAGUUGGUAUCAGAUCCUACGUUUGGUGUCACUAGGUGUCUAUAAAGUUGUCAAGUAGAGUCUUUUUUAUAGAUGUGUAGCACGCCACACUUAUAAGGGAGAGGCUACAGGGUAUAUUAGAAUAUUUUCCUUUCUUGUUGUUUUAUUUCUAGCUAUAGAGUCUAAGGUCUUGAAUCUCCUUUAUUCCCCAUAUAUUUUCUUUUCAGAUCAUACCUCCAAAAAAUUUGAUUCUCCCCACAGUACGUUUGACUCUUCGUCCUACUCAAGAAGUUCAGACUUGGUCUAGGGUCUCUGUUUUUGAUUGCCCUAGUGUAUCUCAAUCGGUUUCCCCUAUCCCUCCCCAGGCACCUCAAUCUAGCAUGUCUAAUGUUGAGUUUCACCAAUCGAUUCAUUUGCUUACCCAGUUAGUGGCCUCUUAGAGUAAGCAUGUUUCUUCUGUUGCUUCAUCUUUUGAGGCCACUAAAGUUGGCCAAUUUAUUAGGUUGAGUCUGCCUACUUUCACUGGUUCAAGAGUUGAGAAAGAUCCCCAAUAUUACAUUGAUGAGAUGGAAAAAUAUUAUCCUGUGAUGUAUUCUACUAAUGUGAAGGGUGUGGAGUUCAUUGUUUACCAAUUGAAGGAUAUGGAGUAUUAGUGGUAUGAGGAUUGGGACUAGUCUAGUGGUGAUGAUGAUGCGUCUGCUUUGUGGGAUGAUUUUUCUAGUGCUUUUCCUAAUCGCUUCUUUUCUUAGGAGUUGAGAGAGGUGAAGGCUAAGGAAUUCUUGAAUUUAAAGCAAAGCAGGAUGGCUGUGAAGAAGUGAGCCCUAAAUUUUAACCAGUUGUCUUACUAUGCUCUGGGUUGGUGUCCUCUAUGAGAUCUCGAAUGAUGAAAUUUUCUUUAAGAUUAUCUCGUAAUUUAGUGUUGAAUGCAAAGUUACUCUGUUGAAUAGAGAUAUGGAUAUCUUUAGGUUGGUGAUGUACAUGAAAUAGGUUAAGGAGGAGAAGAAGAAAUAGGUUGACAUAAGUGAAAGGUAGACUAAAAAGUUUUGAUAUUCAGAUUAGGGUGGAGGUCAGCAGCAGAGUAGUAGAGAUGGUGGAAAAUAGUCUAAGAAGAAGUGGGGAAAAUUUGAUUCCUACUCUAUGGGUAGUGCUUCGUAACCUAAGCCAUUGGGUGAUUAUCAUUUUUAAAAGUGUGGGUCCUAGGGCACAGGGUGCCCAACCUUAGGCUAGUGGGGCUCAGUCAGCUCCAUUAUAUCCCGCUUGUAGAUUUUACUGUAAUGUGCAUCGUGAUGUUUGUGAAGAGGGAAGGAACAAGUGCUUAAAUGUGGUCAGAUUUGUUAUAUAUAGACGGAUUGUCCUUCUAAGGUUUAUUUUAGGGAAAAUAAGAUUCCUGUUGCUACUUCAUUAGCUCCUGCACCAAAGGGUGCUACUUCUGUUUCUGGCUCCUACAUUGGUCGAAACCAUUUGUAUGCUUUUUCCACUCUCCAGAAUUCUGAGGCAUCCCCCCAUUGUUGUUACUGGUACAUUCAAACUCUUCUCCCGUGAUAUAUAUUCUAUACUUGAUCCAGGUUCUACCCUCUCUUAUGUGACCCUAUAUAUGGCUAUCCAUUUUGGUUUUGACCUUGAAUGUAUUCCAAAUCCCUUCUCUGUAUCCACCCUGGUGGAUGACUCCAUUAUGGCUAGAAGGGUCUUAGGGGUUGUAUGAUGUAGGUCUAUGAUAGGUAGACCUUGGUGGAUUUGAUAUAGUUGGAUAUGUUAGACGUUGAUAUGAUUUUGGGGAUGGAUUAAUAGCAUUUGUGCUAUGCGUCUCUUGAUUGUAAGACCCGAAGGGUCAGUUUCCAUUUACCAAAUGAGUUGAUGAUUGAAUGGGAAGGUAGUUCCCUAGAACCUAAGGAAAAGUUUAUUUCGUAUUUUAAAGCCCGAAAAUUAGUUUCUAAAGGAUGCCUUUAUCACUUAGUGCGUGUUUAGGAUCCUUGAUCUGAAGGUCCUUCUUUGCAAACUGUCUCUAUGGUUUAGGAUUUCCUGAGGUGUUCCUUGAUAAUCUUCCUAGUGGUUCUCCCAAUAGGGAAAUCAAUUUUGGGAUUAAUCUUCUUUUAGACACUCAUCCUAUUUCUAUCCCCCCUUACAAAAUGGCUUCGGCUGAGUUAAAAAAACUCAAGGAGCAAUUGAAAGAUCUUUUUUACAAGGGUUUUAUCUACUCUAGUAUAUCUCCGUGUGAUGCUCCUGUUCUAUUCGUGCAUAAAAGGGAUGGGUCCCUUUGGAUGUGUAUUGAUUAUCUCCAACUAAAUAAGGUGACCAUGAAAAAUAAGUAUCCCCUUUCAAAGAUUGAUUAUUUGUUCGAUUAGCCUUAGGGUUGUAAGUUCUUUUCUAAGAUUGAUAUUCAAUAGUGUUACCAUCAGUUGAAGAUUAGGGAGGUGGAUAUCGCUAAGACUACUUUUCAAACUCGAUAUAGUUAUUUUGAGUUCUUAGUAAUGCUCUUUGGUUUGAUUAAUGCCCCGAUAACGUUCAUAGAUCUUAUGGAUUAGGUAUUCCAUCAUUUCUUGGAUUUAUUUGUGAUCGUGUCUAUUGAUGAUAUUUUGGUGAAUUUUAAAAGUAAGGUAGAUCAUGUCGAUUACCUCCGUUUAGUAUUGCAAACCCUUAAGAAGCAGCAGUAUAUGCUAUUCCCCAAGUGUGAGUUCUGAUUGAAUAUUGUCACUUAUUUGGUUCAUGUUUUUGUAGUGAAUGGAUCAUGGUAGAUUUACAAAAGGUUGCGGUGGUAAAAAUUUACCUAGAUCCAUGAUUCCUACCAACAUUCAGAGCUUCUUGGGUUUAGCUAAUUAUUAUAAAAUGUUUAUGAAGAGUUUCUCUUCUAUUGCUACCCCAUUAACUAAGUUAACUCAGAAGAAGGAGAAAUUCUUAUGGUUUGAUGCUUGCGAGGAUAGUUUCAAGAAGUUGAAGGAUAAGUUGACUUUGACUCUGGUAUUGACUCUACCUAAGGGUACUGCUAGUUUUGUGGUAUAUUAUGAUGCAUCCUUCAUGGGACAGGAUUUUGUAUUGAUGCAACAUAGUAGAGUUGUGUCCCAUUCCUUUAGACAAUUGAAAGUUUAUAAGAAGUACUACCGGACUCAUAAUUUGGAAUUGUUAUCAAUGGUAUUUGUAUUGAUGAUCUUGCGACAUUAUUUGUAUGGGGUCUAUGUUGAUAUUUAUUCUAAUCCUAAGAGACUGCAAUACAUAUUCACUCAGAAGGAGCUAAUUCUCAGGCAAUGGAGGUGGUUUGAGUUGCUCAAGGAAUAUGACAUAAGUCUUCACUAUCAUCCAAGUAAAGCUAAUGUGGUUAUUGAUGCUCUUAGUAGGUUAUUCAUGGGAAGCUUAUCUCAUGUGGACGAGGAGAAGUGAGAUUUAGUGAAAGAUCUUCACCGUUUGGCUAUUCUUGGAGUCUGUCUCUUAGAUUAUGAGGAUGGUGGUGUGAUUGUUCAAGAGGUGACGAAGUCAUCUCUUGGUACUGAGGUGAAAGAGAAACAAAUGUUGGAUCCUAUCUUGAUGCAACUCAAGGAGGAUGUGGUUAAGCAGAAGGUGAUGUCUUUUGAGAUUGGAGGUUAUGGUAUCUUGAGGUACCAAGGUAGAUUAUGUGUUCCCAAUAUUGAUGGGUUGUGAGGAAGAAUUUUGGUUGAAGCUCAUGAGUUGUAAUAUACUUUUUAUCCUGGAUCAACAAAAUAUAUCAUGAUCUUAAGAAAAUUUAUUGGUGGAUUAAUAUGAAGUGGGAUGUGGCCAAUUUUGUGGCUAGGUGCAUGGUGUGUCAGCAAGUGAAGGUGAAGGACUUGAGGCUCAGUAGGUUGACCCAAGAUAUUGAGCUACCGUUGUGGAAAUGGGAAAUAAUUAAUAUGAAUUUUGUUACUGGUCUUCCGCAGUCUCACUAAUAAUUUGAUUCGAUUUGGGUCAUCGUGGAUAAGAUGACUAAGUCUACUUACUUCUUGCUAGUGAGGACUAAUUUCUCUUCUAAGGAUUACGCCAAGUUUUUCAUUAGAGAUAUCGUGAAGUUGCAUCGUGCUCCAAUUUCCAUUAUAUCUGUCGAGGUACCCAAAUGUCAUCUCACUUUUAGAGGUCGUUCUAGUAAGGUUUGGGGACUAAGGUAACUAUAAGUACCAUUUGCCACCCACAGAUGGAUGGGCAAAUGGACAGAACAAUUUAGGCCUUGAAGGAAUGCUUUGGGGUUAUGUAUUUAAUUAUGGUAGUAGUUGGGUUGACCAUUUCCCCCCCAUAAAUUAUCCUACAACAACUAUCACUCUAGUAUUGGUAUGGCUCCAUUUGAGGUCUUCUAUGGUAGGUGGUGUAGGUAUCCUAUUGGGUGGUUUGAGAUUGGUGAAAGUAGGUUAUUUUUCCUUGAUUUGGUUCACCAAGCAAUGGAGAAGGUAAAAGUGAUUUGGGAUUGGCUUAAGACCGCCCAAAGUCACCAAAAGUCUUAUUCAGAUGUGAGGCAAAGAGAGUUGGAGUUCAAUGUUCAUGAUUGGGUAUACUUAAAGGUAUCUCCCGUGAAGUAAGUGGUGCAGUUUGGUAAGAAAAAAAAACUCAGUCCCCGAUAUGUCGGUUUAUACUUGGUUUUGAAGAGGGUUGGUAAUCUUGCAUUUAAAUUGGAGUUGCCUUCUAGUUUGAGCUCCAUUCAUUCAGUAUAUCAUGUUUUGAUGUUGAGAAAGUCCGUGGGUGAUCCUUCAACAACUAUUCCUUUGAAAAAAGUGGGUGUUUUAGAUUCGUUAUCUUAUGAGGAAGUCCCGAUUGAGAUUUUGGAUCAGCAAGUCCAUCAAUUGCGGAAUAAGUAUGUGGCUUCAGUAAAAGUUCCUUGAGUAAAGCUUCUUUGGAGGAACCAAAAGUUUGAAGAAGCUACUUGGGAAGACGAGGAGGACAUAAAGUCCAAGUAUUCAUUCUUAUUCUCUAUUCUAAAAAAAAAUCGUGCUUAAUGUAUGUGUGAUCUAAACAUCUUUAUUUUUUGUCUUUAUUAAAGGUGAGUGUGGGUGGUAUUUGUGUUAAAUUGUGCCAAGGGAUGCCUUGACCCAUCAUUCGGUGAUGAAUGAUCCUAAGAGGGGAGUAUGCGGCACCCUGAAUUUUUGGUCCUUGAAAUUUUCUAUAGUUUUAUACACUCUAUCCUGACUAAGACUCCUCUAACUAGUCAUAAGGAGUCUUGAAGGUCCCAGGGACCCAAUCGUAUCCUAAAUAGUGUGUGUGUAGCUGAAUUCUAUUCUGAGUACGAGUAGUUCACCAUGAGUCGUGGUGUGCAAAUCCUAAGAUGCCCAGUGUAUAUCCCAAAUGGGUUUUGUGUUGACUAUGAUGGACCCUACGAGUUGUAGGAUCUCACUACGGGUCAUGGUAUUAGAGUUGUAAGGUUAAUAGUGUGUGUUCUAGGUGACACUGUCUUGGAAACGACUCGUGGAGACGAGUUGUAAUAAGUCAUGACGAGUCGUCAUGAGACCCGUAAUGUCUGAAGGUUAUUUUUCAGCUAAUGAUGGUAUUUUAGACAUUUUCCUCUUAUCCCAACAAUAAUCCACGACCUAUAAACAUACUUGGGGCCCUAUUUUCAUCAAUAACACACUCCAACCAUUCUUUCUUCUCUCUCAAGGCUCUUGAGCAUUCAUACAUAGGGUUUCCAUGAAGUAGGUCAAGAAGAGCUUCAAGGGUUGAAUUCUCUCCAUAAACUUGGGUAUUUCAAGCAUGCUACACUUCCCUAAUUGCUUAUUUGUUAAAAGCAUAAGUUUUAAAGGGUUUUUCAUAUGAUAUUAAUGAUAGUUUUGAAACAUGGGUUGAGGGUUUUGAAUAACUGUUUUUUAUAUGAUUUUUCAUGUUUGUUCCUUCAUGGGUUACGUCUAAAUGGGGGUCUAAAAUUCAAUUUGACGCAUGAGUAUGGUGAAUAAACUAGGAGAUUGUGAUUUUCCUCUACUUGUGACUUUUGAAGUGGUAAUGACCCCAACCCCAUAUUGUGAAAUUUGUUUUGAAAAUGAAAAGCAUGCAUAUUGAACUACUCUUGAACUAUUGCAUAAACUGAAAAGUCAAUGAAGCAUAAUGAUUUUGAAUUGAACCUUAUGGGGUUGUGUGAUUCUCCAAGUUGAUGUGUAAUUGAACCAAGGGCUAUGACUUUCCUAAAUAAUUAAAUUAUUUCAUCAUGUUGAUGUUACCUUGCAAACGUAGUUGGUAUGAUGAUACCAACAAUAUAUGCCUAAAUGUGUAUCAUGGUUCAACGAAUGAGAAUAUGUGUUAAUUGUUUUAAUUAAGAUUUAGUGAGAGUUGUGUAGAUGGAAACCAUGGUUGCCGACGUGGGGGUCUAUACGACCGUGUGGUUUAAGUCCUCCUUAUUAUUAAUAUAUGAUUGUGAGGUUUGAUUCAAUCAUAUAAAAUUACAUGAUUGGGUGGGUGUGCCACCUUGAUUUGCUGGGAGGUUCGAGUCCCCUAUAGUGCAUAUGUAUACCCUCUGGUUCGACAAUCUAGGCUAAUGUUUUAAAGGUACAUGUUAACCCUUGUUCCCACCCCCAGCACGUGAUAUACAUAUAUAUACAUAUAUAUAAAGAUAGAUAUACAUCUAUACAUACAUAUAUAUAUCUAUACAUAUAUAUAUACAUAUAUAUGUGUGUGUGUGUGUGUGUGUAUAUAUAUAUAUAUUUGCAUAUAAUUAUGUGUAUUAGCUUUUGGACUAGUUUUGAAUUGUUACCUGUAAUAUCCCGUACAUUUCUAGUUCAGCUCAUCCCUUAGUACUUAUUUAAGACACUUAGAACCUGAAAAUAAAACUAAGUGUUGGGGAAUUAGUCUCAUUUUUGACCUCUUAAAUUCAACGAUUUUUAAGUUGACCUUACUGGAUCCAAGAUGAUAGUUUUUAAGUUGAUUCAUGUUCAGGGGUGUAAGGAGCAUGUCUCAGGGAAGUUUCGAAAUUUUUGGGUGAGGUAUGAGCUGUAAUUAAAUUGCAAUUCCAGUAGCUCAGCGCGAUUAGCCCGCGUCGCACUAGUAAUAGCAGUGAGACGGUCACUGCAUUGCUUCAAGCCCAUAAACGGCAUUUUAGUUGCGACUUUAAACCCCAGAAGGGCAUUUAGUUAAUUUCCCCCGACCCCAAGUCGUAAAAAUAGAAGAUUAGACAUUAUACUAAGCAAAUUAUCUGAUUUGCAUGUUAAACCCUUGAAAUUACAAUUUAUUAUUAUAUCCAUGAUGUUCAUGUGUUAACUAUCCACAUAUGAAAUAACCAUGCUCUCCAAGUGUUUGAUAGAAUGCCUAUGUGAAUUGAAUAGUGAAAUCAUUAUAUGUCAUCAUGUGGACCCAUUCAUGUAUAAAUUCAUGUAUCUCAAGUGUUUGACAAAAUGCCUAGGUGAAUAUAUUGUUAACAAGUAUUUAUUGUUAUGCUUUUCAAGAUCAUGUAAUGCUUUACUUUCCAUUCUUUCGAGUCCUGGGGGUAUUCAAUACCCAAAAAUCUAGUUGUUUACCUAGAGCUACAGUAGUUACAGAAUAGUAUCAGUAAUGUCAUGAACAGUAGUACUUAUUCAGUUACAAAACUUAGUGAAACUCAGUAUCAAUCCAGUUCAACUCAGUAUCAUAAAUAGUGUAUUCAGUCAGUUAACAGAACUCAGUGAACUUAAUACAGUUCAGUCAGUUAGCAUGAUCAACAACAGUUCAGUAAAGCCUAGUACAGUCUAGAAAUUAGUUUACUGCCUAUUCAGUUGGGAGUAGGAAUUAGCACCGAGCGAACCCAAGGAUUUCCGGCAAGCAGAGGGUUUGACCCUUAGUAGCAAUCCCUGUGUUACAGAAAUACGUAGCUAGCAUAGGUUGAAAUAUCUUCUUGCUUGAUAAAGAUUGAUACAUCUCGUACGAGUUUUCCAGCCAGUGAGGGUUGACGAAAUGUCUUCAUACUAGAUAGGGUUAACUCACAGCCAUUAUUAGUAUCUCUUGGCAAGGUGCUAACACCCUUCCAACUGGGGUCACAGGUUAGUCCCUAACUCAGUUUAUAAUCGGGGUAUGUCGGUUAGAUGAACACUCCCACAGUUUCAAUUUUAGACUCAAUAUAAACCUCUGAUCAAUUUUUAGAAUCAGGACUAUCAGACGUAGUCACCCAGCUCAGUAUGGAACUCAGUUUAGUUCUACAGAAUCAAGACUGUCAGAAAUAGUCACCCAGUUAUCAGUAACUCAGUUAUACAGUUACCCAGUUAUCAGUGAUCUCAGUUACAGUAAACUAGAUUCACACGCAACAUUGAAUAAUCAGUAUUUACAGCAGUUUCAAAUAUAUAUGUACUCUCAUUCUGUUAUAUUCAUGUUACUCACCUUGUUGUUGUUCAUGCAUAUGAACCCUUGUAUAUCAGCCUACCUCACUUAGCAUACCAAUUCAUUCAAAGUACUUACACAUACUUUUUUGCGCUGUGAUGUCUUAUAUCAUAGGUUCAGGCGCACGGGCUCUAAGCCAAACUUAGUAGGCCAUCCUAUCAGCAACAG
rnacentral:lncRNA from 1 species